rnacentral:tRNA from 1 species
GAGGGUAUAGCUCAAAUGGUAGAGCACAUGCUUAGCAUGCAGGAAGUCCUGGACUCAAUCCCCAGUACCUCCA